GCCAGACUCCUACGGGAGGCAGCAGUGGGGAAUAUUGCACAAUGGGGGGAACCCUGAUGCAGCGACGCCGCGUGAGUGGAGAAGUAUUUCGGUAUGUAAAGCUCUAUCAGCAGGGACGAAGAUGACGGUACCUGCAGAAGAAGCCCCGGCUAACUACGUGCCAGCAGCCGCGGUAAUACGUAGGGGGCAAGCGUUAUCCGGAUUUACUGGGUGUAAAGGGAGCGUAGGUGGCAUGGUAAGCCAGAAGUGAAAACCCGGGGCUCAACCCCGCGGAUUGCUUUUGGAACUAUCAGGCUGGAGUGCUGGAGGGGUAAGCGGAAUUCCUAGUGUAGCGGUGAAAUGCGUAGAUAUUAGGAGGAACACCGGUGGCGAAGGCGGCUUACUGGACAGAAACUGACACUGAGGCUCGAAAGCGUGGGGAGCAAACAGGAUUAGAUACCCCGGUAA
rnacentral:rRNA from 1 species